UUGAACGCUGGCGGCAUGCUUUACACAUGCAAGUCGAACGGCAGCGCGGGCUUCGGCCUGGCGGCGAGUGGCGAACGGGUGAGUAAUACAUCGGAACGUGCCCAGUAGUGGGGGAUAGCUCGGCGAAAGCCGGAUUAAUACCGCAUACGACCUGAGGGUGAAAGCGGGGGAUCUUCGGACCUCGCGCUAUUGGAGCGGCCGAUGGCAGAUUAGCUAGUUGGUGGGGUAAAGGCCUACCAAGGCGACGAUCUGUAGCUGGUCUGAGAGGACGACCAGCCACACUGGGACUGAGGCAUGGCCCAGACUCCUACGGGAGGCAGCAGUGGGGAAUUUUGGACAAUGGGCGAAAGCCUGAUCCAGCAAUGCCGCGUGUGUGAUGAAGGCCUUCGGGUUGUAAAGCACUUUUGGCGGGAACGAAAAGGACUGUGCCAAUACCACGGUUCGAUGACGGUACCCGCAGAAUAAGCACCGGCUAACUACGUG
rnacentral:rRNA from 1 species